rnacentral:rRNA from 1 species
AUUGAACGCUGGCGGCAUGCUUUACACAUGCAAGUCGAACGGUAACAGGCCGCAAGGUGCUGACGAGUGGCGAACGGGUGAGUAAUGCAUCGGAACGUGCCCAGUCGUGGGGGAUAACGCAGCGAAAGCUGUGCUAAUACCGCAUACGAUCUAUGGAUGAAAGCGGGGGACCGUAAGGCCUCGCGCGAUUGGAGCGGCCGAUGUCAGAUUAGGUAGUUGGUGGGGUAAAGGCCCACCAAGCCAACGAUCUGUAGCUGGUCUGAGAGGGCGACCAGCCACACUGGGACUGAGACACGGCCCAGACUCCUACGGGAGGCAGCAGUGGGGAAUUUUGGACAAUGGGCGCAAGCCUGAUCCAGCAAUGCCGCGUGCAGGAAGAAGGCCUUCGGGUUGUAAACUGCUUUUGUACGGAACGAAACGGUCUGGGUUAAUACCCUGGGCUAAUGACGGUACCGUAAGAAUAAGCACCGGCUAACUACGUGCCAGCAGCCGCGGUAAAAC